UACGGGGGGGGCAAGCGUUGUUCGGAAUUACUGGGCGUAAAGGGCUCGUAGGCGGCCAACUAAGUCAGACGUGAAAUCCCCAGGCUUAACCUGGGAACUGCGUCUGAUACUGGAUGGCUUGAAUUCGGGAGAGGGAUGCAGAAUUCCAGGUGUAGCGGUGAAAUGCGUAGAUAUCUGGAGGAAUACCGGUGGCGAAGGCGGCAUCCUGGACCGAGAUUGACGCUGAUGAGCGAAAGCGUGGGGAGCAAACAGG
rnacentral:rRNA from 1 species